GACGAACGCUGGCGGCGUGCUUAACACAUGCAAGUCGAACGACGUGGCGAACGGGUGAGUACCGCGUAAUCAACCUGCCUUUCAGAGGGGGACAACAGUUGGAAACGACUGCUAAUACCGCAUACUUAAGGAGGGGAUUGCGUCUGAUUAGCAAGUCGGAGGGGUAACGGCCAACCAAGGCGAUGAUCAGUAGACGGGCUGGGAGGAUGAACGGCCACAUUGGGACUGAGACACGGCCCAGAAUCCUACGGGAGGCAGCAGUGGGGAAUCUUCCGCAAUGGACGAAAGUCUGACGAAGCAACGCCGCGUGAGUGAUGACGGCCUUCGGGUUGUAAAGCUCUGUUAAUCGGGACGCGGUACCGGAAUAGAAAGCCACGGCUAACUACGUGCCAGCAGCCGCGGUAAUUC
rnacentral:rRNA from 1 species